rnacentral:rRNA from 1 species
UGGGGAAUAUUGCGCAAUGGGGGGAACCCUGACGCAGCCAUGCCGCGUGAAUGAAGAAGGCCUUCGGGUUGUAAAGUUCUUUCGGUAUUGAGGAAGGUUGAUGUGUUAAUAGCACAUCAAAUUGACGUUAAAUACAGAAGAAGCACUGGCUAACUCCGUGCCAGCAGCCGCGGUAAUACGGAGGGUGCGAGCGUUAAUCGGAAUAACUGGGCGUAAAGGGCACGCAGGCGGUUAUUUAAGUGAGGUGUGAAAGCCCCGGGCUUAACCUGGGAAUUGCAUUUCAGACUGGGUAACUAGAGUACUUUAGGGAGGGGUAGAAUUCCACGUGUAGCGGUGAAAUGCGUAGAGAUGUGGAGGAAUACCGAAGGCGAAGGCAGCCCCUUGGGAAUGUACUGACGCUCAUGUGCGAAAGCGUGGGGAGCAAGCAGGAUUAGAUACCCUGGUAGUCCACGCUGUAAACGCUGUCGAUUUGGGGGUUGGGGUUUAACUCUGGCGCCCGUAGCUAACGUGAUAAAUCGACCGCCUGGGGAGUACGGCCGCAAGGUUA